rnacentral:rRNA from 1 species
UUUUAAUGAGAGUUUGAUCCUGGCUCAGGACGAACGCUGGCGGCGUGCCUAAUACAUGCAAGUAGAACGCUGAAGUCUGGUGCUUGCACUAGACGGAUGAGUUGCGAACGGGUGAGUAACGCGUAGGUAACCUGCCUCAUAGCGGGGGAUAACUAUUGGAAACGAUAGCUAAUACCGCAUAACAGUAUUUACCGCAUGGUAGAUACUUAAAAGGAGCAAUUG